rnacentral:rRNA from 1 species
CAAUAGCGUAUAUUAAAGUUGUUGCGGUAAAAAAGCUCGUAGUUGGAUUUCUACCGAAGAUAGCCGGUCGGGUCUUAGACCUUGUAUCUGGUUUUGUCUUUGGUAUCCUCAUAGGGAACGUUUCUGCGCUUUAUUGCGUGGUGCGGUAUCUAUGACUUUUACUUUGAGGAAAUUAGAGUGUUCACGGCAGGCAAACGCCUUGAAUAUAUUAGCAUGGAAUAAUAACAUAGGAUCUUCGUCCUAUUUUGUUGGUUUCUAGGGCUAAGAUAAUGAUUAAUAGGGAUAAUUGGGGGCAUCUGUAUCAACGCGUCAGAGGUGGAAUUCUUGGAUUGCGUUGCGACAAACUACUGCGAAAGCAUUUGCCAAGGAUGUUUUCAUUGA